rnacentral:rRNA from 1 species
UACGUAGGGUGCGAGCGUUGUCCGGAAUUAUUGGGCGUAAAGAGCUUGUAGGCGGUUUGUCGCGUCUGCUGUGAAAAUCCGGGGCUCAACCCCGGACUUGCAGUGGGUACGGGCAGACUAGAGUGUGGUAGGGGGAGACUGGAAUUCCUGGUGUAGCGGUGGAAUGCGCAGAUAUCAGGAGGAACACCGAUGGCGAAGGCAGGUCUCUGGGCCCACUACUGACGCUGGAGAAGCGAAAGCAUGGGGGAGCGAACAGG